CCUACGGGUGGCAGCAGUCGAGAAUCUUUCACAAUGGGGGAAACCCUGAUGGUGCGACGCCGCGUGGGGGAAUGAAGGUCUUCGGAUUGUAAACCCCUGUCAUGUGGGAGCAAAUUAAAAAGCUAGUACCACAAGAGGAAGAGACGGCUAACUCUGUGCCUGCAGCAGCGGUAAUACGGGGGAUGCGAGCGUUAUCCGGAUUUAUUGGAGUUAAAGGGUGCGCGGGCGGAGGUGAAAGUCAGCGGUCAAAUUGCGGGGCUCAACCCCGUACUGCCGUUGAAACUGCAUCACUUGAGUGCGGGAGAGGUAUGCGGAAUGCGUGGUGUAGCGGUGAAAUGCAUAGAUAUCACGCAGAACUCCGAUGGCGAAGGCAGCAUACUGGCGCGCAACUGACGCUGAGGCACGAAAGCGUGGGUAUCGAACAGGAUUAGAUACCCGGGUAGUC
rnacentral:rRNA from 1 species